AUUGAACGCUGGCGGAAUGCUUUACACAUGCAAGUCGAACGGCAGCACGGGGCAACCUGGUGGCGAGUGGCGAACGGGUGAGUAAUACAUCGGAACGUGCCCAAUCGUGGGGGAUAACGUAGCGAAAGUUACGCUAAUACCGCAUACGAUCUACGGAUGAAAGCGGGGGAGUCGCAAGACCUCGCGCGAAUGGAGCGGCCGAUGUCAGAUUAGGUAGUUGGUGGGGUAAAGGCUCACCAAGCCAACGAUCUGUAGCUGGUCUGAGAGGACGACCAGCCACACUGGAACUGAGACACGGUCCAGACUCCUACGGGAGGCAGCAGUGGGGAAUUUUGGACAAUGGGCGCAAGCCUGAUCCAGCCAUUCCGCGUGCAGGAUGAAGGCCUUCGGGUUGGCAAACUGCUUUUGUACGGAACGAAACGGACGAGCUCUAAUACAGUUUGCUAAUGAGGUACCGUAAGAAUAAGCACCGGCUAACUACGUGCCAGCAGCCGCGGUAAU
rnacentral:rRNA from 1 species